rnacentral:lncRNA from 1 species
UCAUUCUGAAAAAUGAGAAUUUUUGUGCUGCCACUACAAGUAUCAAAGUGGAUGGCUAUGUUUAUUGCACUAACUGUGGUUCACUCUCUCAGAAUGGCAUCUUCAGUAAGAAAAAUUAUCUAUCUUUUGUAAUUUUCUAAUCUUGUUAAAUCUUUCAGAUGCCAAGGUAAACCUGGUUUGUCCAGGAGACAGUCAUUCAUCAUUUACAAAUAGUAGAGGAUACUUUGAUAUCUUUGAAUUAGUGAAGACUGGAACAGAUAUUGGGAGUUGUCGAGUGAGUGUGGAUCCAAGUAGAGCACCCCGGGGGUGUUCUUUCUUAACAGACAUAAAUGGUGGAUCAAGUGGCCAAUCCUUAAGCACAUGCACCAAUAAUGGAAAUAAUAAGUUCACUUGUGGACCUUAUUAUUUUACUCCAAAUGCUUGUUCACCUCCACCACCACCAAGUUCUCCACCUCCACCACCACCUAGAAAACCACCACCACCACCACCUAGAAGACCACCACCACCCCCACCAAGAACACCUCCACCACCACCACCAACGACACCUCCUCCACCACCACCAACAUCUCCUCCACCACCACCACCAAGAACACCGCCACCACCACCACCAAGAACUCCUCCUCCACCACCACCAAGAACACCUCCACCACCACCACCAAGAACACCUCCACCGCCACUGCCAAGAACACCUCCACCACCACCACCAAGAACUCCUCCUCCCCCACCACCAAGAAAACCUCCACC